rnacentral:rRNA from 1 species
CCUACGGGAGGCAGCAGUGAGGAAUAUUGGUCAAUGGGCGCAAGCCUGAACCAGCCAAGUCGCGUGAGGGAAGACGGCCCUACGGGUUGUAAACCUCUUUUGCCGGGGAGCAAGCCUGAGCCCGUGUACCCCGGCGGAGAGUACCCGGAGACAAAGCCUCGGCUAACUCCGUGCCAGCAGCCGCGGUAAUACGGAGGAUGCGAGCGUUAUCCGGAUUUAUUGGGUUUAAAGGGUGCGCAGGCGGGCUGUUAAGCCGGCGGUAAAAAUUCAGGGCUCAACCCUGUCGAGCCGUCGGAACUGGCAGUCUGGAGUGGGCGAGAAGUAUGCGGAAUGCGUGGUGUAGCGGUGAAAUGCAUAGAUAUCACGCAGAACGCCGAUUGCGAAGGCAGCAUACCGGCGCCCAACUGACGCUGAGGCACGAAAGCGUGGGGAUCGAACAGGAUUAGAUACCCCAGUAGUC